UCCCUGGUGGCUCAGAUGGUAAAGAAUCUGCUUGCAAUGCAGGAGACUCAGGUUCAGUUCCUGGGUUGGGAA
rnacentral:tRNA from 1 species